rnacentral:rRNA from 1 species
UACGGAGGGGCGAGCGUUGUCCGAAGUUACUGGGCGUAAAGCGCGCGUAGGCGGGUUGGUAAGUCCGCUGUGAAAGCCCGGAGCUCAACUCCGGAGGGUCGGUGGAUACUGCCAGUCUUGAAGGUGCUAGGGGGAGAUGGAAUUACCGGUGUAGCGGUGAAAUGCGUAGAUAUCGGUAGGAACACCAGUGGCGAAGGCGGUCUCCUGGGGCAUUCUUGACGCUGAUGCGCGAAAGCUGGGGGGAGCAAACGGG